CAUGAGUAGCGAUAAUUAAUGUGAGAAUCAUUAACGCCGUAAACCCAAGGUUUCCUACGCGAUGCUCGUCAUCGUAGGGUUAGUCGGGUCCUAAGUCGAGUCCGAAAGGGGUAGACGAUGGCAAAUUGGUUAAUAUUCCAAUACCAACAUUAGUGUGCGAUGGAAGGACGCUUAGGGCUAAGGGGGCUAGCGGAUGGAAGUGCUAGUCUAAGGUCGUAGGAGGUUAUACAGGCAAAUCCGUAUAACAAUACUCCGAGAACUGAAAGGCUUUUUGAAGUCUUCGGAUGGAUAGAAGAACCCCUGAUGCCGUCGAGCCAAGAAAAGUUUCUAAGUUUAGCUAAUGUUGCCCGUACCGUAAACCGACACAGGUGGGUGGGAUGAGUAUUCUAAGGCGCGUGGAAGAACUCUCUUUAAGGAACUCUGCAAAAUAGCACCGUAUCUUCGGUAUAAGGUGUGGUUAGCUUCGUACUAGGAUUUACUCCGAAAGCGAAGAAACUUACAACAAAGAGUCCCUCCCGACUGUUUACCAAAAACACAGCACUCUGCUAACUCGUAAGAGGAUGUAUAGGGUGUGACGCCUGCCCGGUGCUCGAAGGUUAAUUGAUGGGGUUAGCAUUAGCGAAGCUCUUGAUCGAAGCCCGAGUAAACGGCGGCCGUAACUAUAACGGUCCUAAGGUAGCGAAAUUCCUUGUCGGUUAAAUACCGACCUGCAUGAAUGGCGUAACGAGAUGGGAGCUGUCUCAAAGAGGGAUCCAGUGAAAUUGUAGUGGAGGUGAAAAUUCCUCCUACCCGCGGCAAGACGGAAAGACCCCGUGGACCUUUACUACAGCUUGACACUGCUACUUGGAUAAGAAUGUGCAGGAUAGGUGGGAGGCUUUGAGUAUAUGACGCCAGUUGUAUAUGAGCCAUUGUUGAGAUACCACUCUUUCUUAUUUGGGUAGCUAACCAGCUUGAGUUAUCCUCAAGUGGGACAAUGUCUGGUGGGUAGUUUGACUGGGGCGGUCGCCUCCCAAAUAAUAACGGAGGCUUACAAAGGUUGGCUCAGAACGGUUGGAAAUCGUUCGUAGAGUAUAAAGGUAUAAGCCAGCUUAACUGCAAGACAUACAAGUCAAGCAGAGACGAAAGUCGGUCUUAGUGAUCCGGUGGUUCUGUGUGGAAGGGCCAUCGCUCAAAGGAUAAAAGGUACCCCGGGGAUAACAGGCUGAUCUCCCCCAAGAGCUCACAUCGACGGGGAGGUUUGGCACCUCGAUGUCGGCUCAUCGCAUCCUGGGGCUGGAGCAGGUCCCAAGGGUAUGGCUGUUCGCCAUUUAAAGCGGUACGCGAGCUGGGUUCAGAACGUCGUGAGACAGUUCGGUCCCUAUCUGCCGUGGGCGUAAGAAGAUUGAAGAGAUUUGACCCUAGUACGAGAGGACCGGGUUGAACAAACCACUGGUGUAGCUGUUGUUCUGCCAAGAGCAUCGCAGCGUAGCUAAGUUUGGAAAGGAUAAACGCUGAAAGCAUCUAAGCGUGAAGCCAACUCUAAGAUGAAUCUUCUCUAAGCUCUCUAGAAGACUACUAGUUUGAUAGGCUGGGUGUGUAAUGGAUGAAAGUCCUUUAGCUGACCAGUACUAAUAGAGCGUUUGGCUUAUCUUUAAUAAAGCAU
rnacentral:rRNA from 1 species